rnacentral:rRNA from 1 species
UGUAGAAUACAAGGGAGUGUAAACGUCAGUGAAAUACCUUGAUAAGUCACAAUUAAAAACUAACUUCGACGACUAGCGCGUCUAGGAUGCGUCCUAGAGGCUCAUAGUAGAAGGACAGUUUCAGAGGGUCAGUUUUACUGGGGCGGUAGCCUCUAAGAAAGUAUCAGAGGCCUUCAAAGGUAUAUUUAUAUUGGUCAGAAACCAAUGGACAUUUAUCGUCCGUCAAAGUGUAAUGAUAAAAUAUGCUUGACUGAAAGACUGAUAGGUCGAUCAGCUACGCAAGUAGGACAUAGUGAU